rnacentral:tRNA from 1 species
CCCUGGUGGCCAGUCGGUAAGGAAUCUGCCUGCAAUGCAGGAGACCCAGGUUUGACCCCUGGAUCAGGAA